rnacentral:rRNA from 1 species
AACGAACGCUGGCGGCAGGCCUCAAACAUGCAAGUCGAGCGCCCAGCAAUGGGAGCGGCGGACGGGUGAGUAUCGCGCGGGAAUGUACCUAGUGGUUCGGCACAACUCAUGGAAACGUGAGCUAAUCCCGGAUGAGCCCGUAAGGGGAAGGAUUCAUCGCCAUUAGCUCAGCCCGCGUCUGAUUAGGUAGUUGGUAGGGGAACGGGCUCACCAAGGCGACGAUCAGUAGCUGUUCUGAGAGGAAGAUCAGCCACACUGGGACUGCGACACGGGGGAGACGCGUACGGGAGGCAGCAGUUGGGAAUCUUGGACAAUGGGCGCAAGCCUGAUCCAGCCAUGCCGCGUGAGUGAUGAAGGCCUUGGGGUUGUAAAGCUCUUUUACCCGGGAAGAUAAUGACUGUACCGGGAGAAUAAGCUCCGGCUAACUUCGUGCCAGCCGCCGCCGUAA